rnacentral:rRNA from 1 species
UACGAAGGGGGCUAGCGUUGUUCGGAAUUACUGGGCGUAAAGCGCGCGCAGGCGGUCCUUUAAGUCAGGGGUGAAAGCCCAGAGCUCAACUCUGGAACUGCCUUUGAAACUAGAGGACUUGGGUACGGGAGAGGUGAGUGGAAUUCCGAGUGUAGAGGUGAAAUUCGUAGAUAUUGGGAAGAACACCGAUGGCGAAGGCAGCCAUCUGGACCGACACUGACGCUGAGGCGCGAAAGCGUGGGGAGCAAACAGG